rnacentral:rRNA from 1 species
UGGGGAAUAUUGCGCAAUGGGCGAAAGCCUGACGCAGCGACGCCGCGUGUGGGAUGAAGGUCUUCGGAUUGUAAACCACUGUCGGGAGGGACGAAUGCGCCGCAAGGCGAGUGACGGUACCUCCAAAGGAAGCACCGGCUAACUCUGUGCCAGCAGCCGCGGUAAUACAGAGGGUGCGAGCGUUGUCCGGAAUCACUGGGCGUAAAGGGCGCGUAGGCGGCUUGGUAAGUAGGGGGUGAAAUCUUGCGGCUCAACUGCAAGGCUGCCUCCUAAACUGCCGGGCUGGAGCACGGUAGAGGCAGAUGGAAUUCCCGGUGUAGCGGUGGAAUGCGUAGAGAUCGGGAAGAACAUCGGUGGCGAAGGCGGUCUGCUGGGCCGUUGCUGACGCUGAGGCGCGACAGCGUGGGGAGCAAACAGGAUUAGAUACCCCCGUAGUCC